CAGGAAAACAUUUUGAAAUCGGUGUAUCCGAAAAUGAAGGCGUCAAUGGUGCCGAAAAUUGGGGAAAUAGCGGUGAAAAUGAUGAGCGAUGGUAGUAAGAGAAGAAGAUUAGGAAACUUUCAGCCAAUUGAAGGAUUCGGUCAGUCGGAGCUCUGCGCCAGUUAAUAAGAGAAGUGUGAUCGGAGAGUGAAAUCCACCACCUGACGACCGUUCCUUCCAAAUCAUCCUCAGAGAACCUAUGAGUGCACUGUUCUGGGUUUGAUGAACUAUCAGCCAAGGAAAAAGGAAAUAAUGAAGGAAGAUACAUCUGCC